GACGAACGCUGGCGGCGUGCUUAACACAUGCAAGUCGAACGGAAAGGCCCUGCUUUUGUGGGGUGCUCGAUUGGCGAACGGGUGAGUAACACGUGAGUAACCUGCCCUUGACUUUGGGAUAACAUCAGGAAACUGGGGCUAAUACCGGAUAGGAGCUCCUGCUGCAUGGUGGGGGUUGGAAAGUUUCGGCGGUUGGGGCUGGACUCGCGGCUUAUCAGCUUGUUGGUGGGGUAGUGGCUUACCAAGGCUUUGACGGGUAGCCGGCCUGAGAGGGUGACCGGCGACAUUGGGACUGAGAUAGGGCCCAGACUCCUACGGUAGGCAGCAGUGGGGAAUAUUGCACAAUGGGCGGAAGCCUGAUGCAGCAACGCCGCGUGCGGGAUGACGGCCUUCGGGUUGUAAACCGCUUUCGCCUGUGACGAAGCGUGAGUGACGGUAAUGGGUAAAGAAGCAACGGCUAACUACGUG
rnacentral:rRNA from 1 species